rnacentral:rRNA from 1 species
GGAGCCUGAGAAACGGCUACCACAUCCAAGGAAGGCAGCAGGCGCGCAAAUUACCCAAUCCCAACAUGGGGAGGUAGUGACAAGAAAUACUGAUAUAGGGUCCUAUAGGAUCUUGUAAUUGGAAUGAGUACAAUUUAAACCCAUUAACGAGGAACAACUAGAGGGCAAGUCUGGUGCCAGCAGCCGCGGUAAUUCCAGCUCUAGUAGCAUACAUUAAAAUUGUUGCAGUUAAAACGCCCGUAGUUGAAGCUUAGGUCCUCAUCAUCUGGUCUGCCUCACCGCUAGUACUGGUAUGAUUGGGCCUUUUUUCUUGGUGAACUGUUAUGCCCUUUAUUGGGUGUGGCAGUGAACUAGGACUUUUACUUUGAAAAAAUUAGAGUGUUUAAAGCAGGCUUUUGCUCGAAUACCUUAGCAUGGAAUAAUGGAAUAUGACGAGUGGUUGUUUUUCAUUGGUUUUCACGACUACCGUAAUGAUUGAUA